AGAUUAUGCUGCAUGGAAAUGCUGAUUUUGAGGCUACUGAUGUUACUCUUGAGGGGAAUCAUGUUUUUGAGGUUCCUGAUGGUUGUAGGUUGAAGGUUACCUCAACAAAUCCAGGUGUAUCAAUGCAAUUAGAACCCAUCGAAGAUGCAAAGAAAGAUACGGGAAGCUGGUAUUGGAGUUACAAGAUAGAUGGACCUCAUGUAAAGUUGGAAAUUGUAGAAUCUUAAAGGACAUAUAGCAUAUAUCUCUAUAGCUGAUGUGAAUA